GCCACCCAAAGCCCUCCAUGCCAACCUCUCUCACACGCGCAUUCUUCAGAUUAGCGUAAGUUUGUUCAUGCUAAAAACUCCUCCUUUCUCACCGCCCCAUACGGAUAAGGAUUGAUAGAUAAGGUAAGUUUGAAAUUGUUUUGAACUUGUUUCCUUAUCUAGGAGAGAUUGGAUCUCAUCCUAACUACCACAUGCCAUACCUAA
rnacentral:lncRNA from 1 species